ACAGUGUCGUAAAUUUCGGAU
rnacentral:snRNA from 1 species